UACAGAGGUCUCAAGCGUUGUUCGGAUUCAUUGGGCGUAAAGGGUGUGUAGGUGGCGCCGUUAGUCGGGUGUGAAAUUUCGGAGCUUAACUCCGAAACUGCAUUCGAUACUGCCGUGCUUGAGGACUGGAGAGGAGACUGGAAUUUAUGGUGUAGCGGUGAAAUGCGUAGAUAUCGUAAGGAAGACCAGUGGCGAAGGCGGGUCUCUGGACAGUUCCUGACGCUGAGGCACGAAGGUCAGGGGAGCAAACGGG
rnacentral:rRNA from 1 species